rnacentral:rRNA from 1 species
CCUACGGGUGGCUGCAGUAGGGAAUCUUCCACAAUGGACGAAAGUCUGAUGGAGCAACGCCGCGUGAGUGAAGAAGGGUUUCGGCUCGUAAAGCUCUGUUGGUAGUGAAGAAAGAGAGAGGAAGUAACUAGCCUUUAUUUGACGGUAAUUACUUAGAAAGUCCCGGCUAACUACGUGCCAGCAGCCGCGGUAAUACGUAGGUGGCAAGCGUUGUCCGGAUUUGUUGGGCGGAAAGCGAGUGCAGGCGGUUCAAUAAGUCUGCAGUGAAAGCCUGCGGCUCAACCGGAGAAUUGCAUCAGAAACUGUUGAACUUGAGUGCAUAAGAGGAGAGUGGAACUCCAUGUGUAGCGGUGGAAUGCGUAGAUAUAUGGAAGAACACCAGUGGCGAAGGCGGCUCUCUGGUCUGUAACUGACGCUGAGGCUCGAAAGCAUGGGUAGCGAACAGGAUUAGAUACCCGGGUAGUC